UCGUACGGCCGAUAUUGUGUUUCCUUUAAUGGUCAAACUCAACCCACACCCCGCCCAUUUCGCUACCGAAGAAAAAGUCAACAGCGUAAGCCAUUCUCCUCCCGCAACGUAGCCCUACGUCUCAUGUCUCCCAAUCACGUCUUGACACGUUUCGCACGAUUCCUUCUCCCUCCCUCCCUGCCGACCUCGCCUCUUUCAUGACCCCAAACAAGUCGUACCAAAGCUUGCCCAUUUGCACCCGCCCCCCACUCGUACCGUCAUCAUUCAUUACCACACCAUCACUUCAAAUUUCUACCCAACAAACCACUAUGCAAGCAUUCUUCUUGUAGGUUAAUCCGUUGAUAUAUAGAGACUGAGUCGCUACUUGUAGAUGCGAGCGCUUCACAAUCUGAGGGAAAUCAAAUCCUCGUUGAUUUCUAAAGGCGAGACUGGCGUGUGCAGAAGAAUAUAUAUAUAUAUAUAUAUAGUUUGCCAAAAUGAGAGGAUCUGAUGUUGCAGAUCUGAGUGAUGAAAAAAGAGAAAGGCAUUACGGCCAUUUUGGGUUGAUUUCUGCAGAAGAAAGGGACAGGAGAGUUAACAGAGAUUGACAGAAGAGAGUGAGCACAUGCUGCAAGCAAUUGUAUGAGGCCAUACAUAUGCGGGUGCGUGCUCACUUCUCUUUCUGUCAGUUUCUCUCUUUCGUGUGUGUUUCUCUCUGUGUUCCUUCUUCUUCUUCAGAUUGCUUUCCGCAUCCCAAUCCUUCCUAUCCUUAUACUCGUCAGCUCUUUCUCGUGAGCUAGCCAGCGAAAGAGUUAUACACCUUUACCCGAAUCAGAGAGCUCUCGAUCUCGGCAAUGAAAACCCUUUGAAACGACGCGUCGAUUGCGUUUUUGGCACAUCAAAACUUUUUAUUUUGUGUUACCUUGUCGUGUCUAAAGCUUAUGUGGCGCUUGACCAAUCGCAGAAAUACAGGUUAAAUGAAUGAAGGUAAACAAAUUAAAGCGUGUAGGGCUGAUAACUUCUUUUGGGCACUGUUUUUCACGACGGACAUGAUGGUAGGGCUUCUCAUCCUUAUCUCUUCGAAUACUUUAUUCAUUUUCUUUAUUAUUAUUUAUUCAUAUUUAUGCGAGUUUUCAAUUCAUUUUAUGUAUUAUUAUAUUUGUUCAAAGUUCAAACGGAAUGAAGCUUCACAGCGUUGUUUUUAAGGGUGUACUUCCUCCUUCCUUUAGUGGAACAUAAAACCCAAAUUCACUUCUAAGCGUUACUGUUCAUAUCAUAACGGAAAUCCGUAUGUUUUGAUUUGGUUGGGCUUAUUUACUCAUCAAACCCUUAUUUUGUACCUCUCUUCUCUCUUCGACUUUAAUCUGGACCAGAAGUUUUUUAACUUUCCGUUCGCCUAAGACACCGGAGCUUGGAGAGACCGGCGAAGAAUCAUGGGGAUUACUGAAGUAGCGAUGGACAGGCAACAGAAAGCAAAAGAAAGCCGUUUUGGUAGGUGCAUAAUCACAUAAUUAUGGAAGAUUUGGCUCUAUAUUCUUCAUGGAAAAUAUGCAUUUAUUGGCUUACAGAGAAGUUUUUUGAGGUUUGGGGGCGCCGAACUGCUGCGUCCGGGAUUAUUCUGUGCUUCAAAGGAACUCUCUUUGUGCCUAAGGCAAUGGGAAGGACCAAUGCCUCUUUCACUAUGAGAGGUGUUGGUGUCAACCAAGUGCUCGCCUUGGAGUGGCUUUUGUUCUUUUAAUUGAUUCAUUCGGUGUUAUUAAAGCAAAAGGCGCACUCAAUGCACAAGGCUGGUAAAACGCCUUAGGUGCAAGGCACUAGAAAGGUGCAUGCUCGAGUGAAGUAAUGUGCCACCAUGUCAAAAUGCACAUGUAUAGACAAAAAAUCAAAGAUGAAAUGAUAAAUGUAAAUUUACUUAACCUUCAUAUGAAUGCUCUUAAAAAUUGUGUCCUAUGAAAAAAACAUAGAUAAAAGUAGCAAUCAUUUUAUGCAUCAUGAAUAAAUACUCCAGGAAAUUGCAAUUAGGCACCAAGAGGCUCUCACCUUUUGCUCAAGAAAGGUUCAUAAGGUGUUGAAAGGCUAGCGCCUGAUUAAAUCCAUUACCUCUCUUCACGUGUAAUGAUCCAAAAAAUUUAAAUUUUUUUCUUUUUUAUUAAUAUUUUAUUUAAUUAUUUUAGUUUAUAGCACAUGAGAAGUAUUGGUUUAAUGAAAUUUAUAUUGAUUACUUAUGUGAAGAUUUAAAAUUUAAAUUUUAUUUAAGUCAAAUGUUAAAUGUUAGUUUUAUUUUCUUUUAUAUGAAAAAAGUACUAAAGUGCCCUUACCUCUUGUUGAAAAAAAAAAACUUCAAAAUUCUUCAAUUAAAAUGUUUUGGAAGGUUACUGUGAAUGAGGUUUGAACAUAUGGUGAUUUGCGAAAUGUCUUGAUGACGAGAACAUUUCUAUCUGCUAUGCAUUCGCGUAAAAUACAUAUACACAUACAUACAUACAUACAUAUAAUAAUGUUAAUAUUAAUAAUAGGAAAAUCUGAUGGGGUCCCUUUUUGUAAUUUUGUCCACCAACCUUGAUGUUUUAUUUCUCCUUUCUUCUUAGUCGGUGAGUUUACAGAACAGACUGAGAGAGAGAGAGAGCUUGCGGGGGUUCUUCGUUUUCUUCUCUUCCUGUCGCACUAGCUUCAAACUUAUUGUCAGUGUGCUUGACUCCUCACCGCCGGCAGUUCGUUCGUUCCUUUCCCUCUGCUGUUCGCUUGUUUUUGCUUGUGGGAUGGUUGAAUCUCUUCCCCAUUUCUGCUCUGUUUCGUGACUGACGAAGCGUCGGCACGUUUGAUUUAUAGCUGUUGCCACUGUAGUUUCGUUAGAGGUGAGUGGUCAAGCUUUAUAAAUUACAAAGAGCAAGCUGUCUAGGAAUUAAACAUGGAUAGUGGAGGUGAAUAUGUAAGCAGUCCAGGAACUACCUAACUGCAGUACCAAAAAGAAGAUAUAGAAGCUAACUAUUCAGCUUUACGUUGAGGUAAAAGAUUAUUUGUGUUAUUCAAUUUACUCGACUAAAGCCACAGUGAUUUUUCUUGUGGUACUAGUUACUCUAUUUGCACAAUUAAAAUAGAUAAUGCAAUAACCUAAGAUGGCAACUACUUAUUACUCAACUUAUUAUGUGAGCAAAAUAUUUCUAAUUAGGACCUUCCAGUUUUGUUGAUGAGGGCAUCUUCUAAAACUUGAUUUUGAUCUUCAUGGUAUUAAAAGAACAGUGCCAGUCUUUAAUCAAUGUGAUGAAGAUUUAGAAAUAAGUUUUUUUCCCCCCCUCACUUGAACUUACCCCUUUAAACCCUUUUCAGGUUGGGUUGUAGACAAAACCUUAUUAACAUUAUUUGGAUUUUAGAACUUUUUUUGCUGGGUAUUCUUGAUUUUAGAAUCUUUAACCAGUAAAAUUAGGGUGGGUGAGAAGAACCGAGUACUUUACCCCUUAGCCGUGAAGGUUUUGAUGUGAUUUUGAGGAACCGGUCUUCCAAAUCCUGGAAGAAUCAAUUGUAAGGUGGUGAUGUCAUUUCUGAUUUAUUCAAAGGCAAUUAUGCUUUCUUUUUCUGAUGCUCUUAUGACACCUAUAACGAGACAUAUAAAUCUAACCAAGGAGCCAGAAACAUUCAACUAAGUAAGUUGGGAUUGGAGUAUCAAAACAAAAUCUCUUAUUAAAUUUUCAACUCAGUUAAUUCAUCUACAUGUGAAACUUGGAAAAUAUUAUUUCAUGUGAAGGUCACAAAUGUUAUGGAGGUGCUUGUGUGAUUUAAUCUCAAAAGAACUUCUUUUUACUCUUAUGUGGUCAUAUGGAAGUGCUCAAGCAGCAUAAUCUUGAGUCCGGUAUUUGCAUUUUUUCUGAGGUAAUGUAGAAAAAUGAAAACUAUGCGCCCUUGAGUUUCUUGCUGGAAGUGCAUAUAUGAUUAAUGUCUCUAUAGUGAGUUUUUUGUGCUCUCUCUCUCUCUCUAUAUAUAUAUAUAUUGAUGUGCCUGUUUGGGUAAUGACCAAUAUAAUGAUGAUACAUAACAUUUAUUACAUCAUUAUGAUGCGUCGUUUGAUUAAGCAUUGGCAAGAGGGGUUGUGUGGUUUAAAAUAUUUGACAUAGUUUGACUCUUCAUUGAUAUUUGCUGUAUCUCGGUUUAAUGUAAUGAAAUCUAAUUAACUUCUUAUUGGCGUACUUGAAUAUGUGAUACACACACUAUACGUUAAAUUGAUUAUUUUUUACAUGAGUUUCAAAAGGUUGAUAUUUUUAACAUGUAAGUUGGGUUCUAGAAGUGGCUUUAUUUGGUGCUAUCAAUUUUUUGCCUCAGUACUUUUUUCUAAAAAAUAAUUAAAGUGGAAUUUCUCUUCUCCAGGGAGAUUUUUUCAAGGUCUUUAGUGGUCAAGGUAUUCUGGUCAUCAGUAUUUUUUCUUUAUUGAGUUAGAGUUCAGUUUUCUCUUAAUUAUGUGAAACAAAUUAUGGAACAUAAUAACGUAGAAUCACAUGCACCUCCGGAGAAAUUCAGAUUACACCCUUAGCAUUGUAAAGCUUCUUUGUAUAUUGAAUGAACCUUAAUUGGCUUUGAAGAAAUUGUUGUGUUGGAAACUAAAGAUUCCAGAACAGUAAACAUAAAACCCAAUAGACAGACACUUCAAAAGAGUUUUGUUGGUUCUUUAACUCUCAAAGAUACUGUGUUGCAUUUUGUCAUUUAUGGGGACACUUUAAAUUUAGGUGUGUUCAUAGUUAUAGGUGCUUGCCUCACUGCCUGAGGCAUUGAAGCAAGGUGCUGAAGAAGUGCUGACUCUCACAUCAUGAGAUAUGUUGGCUUCAAUUGUGACACUUAUAUUAGCAUCAGCAAAGGCAAGCACCUGAGGUAUCUUGAUAUAUAGUUGAAUGGCUGAAAUAAGAAAUAAGAUUAAAUUAGAAAGUAUUGCUUUGAAAGUAUGAUGGGUAUUUAAAUGUGGUGGGAAACCCUCUCCAAAAAAUGCUAGCUAUAGUAAUGGGAGAAUUAACUCAUGUAAAUGCCUCGUUAAACAUCUCAUACUAGUAAAAGUGGGACAUAGUCAUCCAUACUAUCCGAGUCUCUGUCAGAAUAAGGUUUAUAUAAUUUUCAUUCUCACUCAAAAAAAUAGUGAUGCAACUAGUUUUUUGGGGUUUUGUUAACAGACAAGCAAAACAAAGCUUUUAUUUCUUUUUCUUUUUUUAGAACUAAGAAAAAAUCACAGGAGAACUCUACAACGAUCCUAGUUGAUGAAUCAAAGUCUCUAUUCCUCUUGGCAAUUUUUUUUUUAUCAAUCUUUAAAUGCCAAGGAACCUAACUGCCUUUAACAAGCCAAUCCACACGAGCUUUCCCCUCCCGCAUGGUAUGGCAAGCUCUGAGUACUUUGCAAAAGAUAGCAUUGGAUGUGUUUCCAGGUAAAAUUAUCUCUUCAACCUCAUUAGAGAUGAUUCAUGAUCACAUUAGAUAAUGAAAUGAACAAUACCCAAUGAUUUCAUAAGUUGAAAGCCAUGCGGCAAAAAAAAGUUUGUUAUUAUGCUUGAAUCUGUACUGAUAAAAUUGAAAAUUAUCAGUCUAACGUUGCGUAUUCAUAUUUGUUUAUUUCAUGUAACAUUUCUAGUAUUUUCCCUUAUUUAGUAUCUCACCUCACUUGAGCUGUCUAGCUAGUGCCUUUUACUUUUAACCGCACUUCUAAGUUCCAGACCUUGUAAACCUCUUAAGCUUGCUUUGAAAUCUUUGCUGUUUCCUGUCGUUUAAAAGGUUAAUGGACAUCCAAUCUCAAAUAGAAAGGCCUUCUUUGUUAAUGAAAUUGUUACUGAACGAAAAAAUGAAUUAAUGAAACAUCACUAUUGCAUCAGUCAGGGUUUCAAAACUAGUUUGCGUAAUACUGGUGGUUUCAUCUCCAAACCGUUAGGAUUUUCCCAAGCAACUCAUGUAAUUAUGAUAUUGAACUCUCUAUGAUGCCUUUAUAUAUGUAUUUAAUCUACCUAAAACGAUACGAUCCUGUAACCAAUGCUCACACAGUUUAUUUGAUCGGAACAUAUGCAUUGCCAUAAGCAUGUUCUUUGCUCUUUCACAAUCUUAUCAUUUGUGAAUUGUUGGUACUCGCAUUGAUGUUAAGCCUCUGUUUAGUUUGGUUGUCCAAUUUCACUUCUUAUACAGUAAUAUAUUAAAUUCAAAUUCUAUCAAUUUAAUUAUGUUUGGCCAAAAGUGGUCAAGCUAAUAAACCUCUGUCAUAACACCUGGAUUUAUUUUGAUUACUCCAUUGAUAUGAUGCUCAGUGUACUCUUCCGUGUAGUUCCAUGUAGCUUCCUUUUUUCUCCUUUUUUGCAAUUUCAAUAAUCAUGUUGUGCGUGAAAAAAAGAUAGUUUUGUUCUCAUCAUGGUUACUUGUUUGCUGUAUGCAUGACUUGGAAUGGAACUUGAUAAAGCAUGAUAAGAAACAACAAGCAGCGGGGUCGACUGCAUGAUCGCACAGUACCAUUUGUGCUCUAGCUAUCAACAAACAACUCUCUGAAAAUAUUGCCAGCAAAAAAUUGUGCUCUAUCAAGCAUGAUAACAAAGGGCAGGGAAAAUGUGUGAGGUUCAAGCAUUGCUAUCUGUCCCAUUUCAGUAGUUCAUUUGGGUUGGGGCCGAAAGAAACAGUUGAAUAAUGCAAAUGUUGCUGGCUAUUGGCUUCUGCAUUAUAGAGUGGGGAAAUCCUUUGAAUGAAAGAUGAUGAUGGAUUCAUAUGAAGUUAAUCAACAAAUGACAAUGGAUUACAGGUAGGUUAGUUUUAAGAUUCAUUAUAGGAGGCAAGGUUCUUUCUCCUUAAAUGACAACUGUAUCGUUAGGUUUAAGAUUAGUACCCUUACUGUUGUUCAUUUGACCAAGAACGAUUACAAAUUGCUUGUUAUUUUGGCUAGGGUUUUAGUAUAUUACAUGGGUAUUUAGGUUUCAAAGUGAUUUAGAAUUCAUGUUAAGCUUGUGGCUCAAAAAGUAUUUACAGAUGUAUUUAUAGAUUACUUACCAACUAGUAGGUAGGAUUGAUGAGUUGCAAGAUGUCUCAUCGAAUUAUAUUGUUAAUAGGCCGUGAAUAUUACGAUUCUAUAGAUUUGAUUAGGUCUUCACGGCAAGACCGGAAUCCUUGUUUCAUGGGAUGAAAGCUAAAUUCUUUCCAACUCAAUCCUGGCUGAAGGGAGUCAUCCAUAGGUUUGGUUUUAUGGAGGGGACCAAACUCAUUGCAAAAAUGAUGUAUAAAUGUAGCACUUCAGUUUUGUACCGAUACGGCUAUUUAGAUUGUGCAAAACUCGAAGAACCUAGCAAUCUCUUCUCUGUCCGGUCUGAAUCGGGCAACAUGAAAAACCGAGUGGAAUAUUUUCAGCAAUUCUAUUCUCUCUGUUUUUGUUGUC